rnacentral:rRNA from 1 species
AACGAACGCUGGCGGCAGGCUUAACACAUGCAAGUCGAACGGGUGUAGCAAUACAUCAGUGGCAGACGGGUGAGUAACACGUGGGAACCUUCCUAGGGGUACGGAACAACUCAGGGAAACUUGAGCUAAUACCGUAUACGUCCGUGAGGAGAAAGAUUUAUCGCCCUUAGACGGGCCCGCGUCGGAUUAGCUAGUUGGUGGGGUAACGGCCUACCAAGGCGACGAUCCGUAGCUGAUCUUAGAGGAUGAUCAGCCACACUGGGACUGAGACACGGCCCAGACUCCUACGGGAGGCAGCAACUGGGAAUAUUGCGCAAUGGGCGAAAGCCUGACGCAGCGACACCGCGUGAAGGAUGAAGGCCUUAGGGUCGUAAACUUCUUUUGUCUCGCCACAUGGCGAGGAGAAUAAGCAUCUGCUAACCACGUGCCAGCCGCCGCGGUAA